rnacentral:rRNA from 1 species
UACUGCCACCGUACUACCCUAAAUGCACUGAUUUCAUCUGACUCUGGAAGCUAACAGGGUUGAGCCUGGUAAGUCUUUGGGUGGGAGACCACCAGGAAACCCUGGGGAACAGCUGCUG